rnacentral:misc_RNA from 1 species
GGAAGUAAAAGUCGUAACAAGAUUUCCGUAGGUGAACCUGCGGAAGGAUCAUUAUUGUAUAACCGAGGUGCGAGGGCUGUCGCUGACCCGAAAGGUCGUGCACGCCCGAGUGCCCUCACACACAUCCAUCUCACCCCUAUGUGCACCACCACGUGGGUCCCCCUUUGGCUUGUUCGGAGGGGGGCUUACGUUUUCACACAAACUUUGUAUGCAGUGUAGAAUGUAUUUUUUGUUUUUGCGAUCACGCAAUCAAUACAACUUUCAACAACGGAUCUCUUGGCUCUC